UUGCCUUCAGAAAAUAUAUUUAAGGUAAAUCUGCCCAGUGAUAUAAUUCAACGGCCGCGGUAUCCUGACCGUGCGAAGGUAGCACAAUAAUGAGCCUCCUAAUUAGAGGAUAGAAUGAAUGAAUCAACAAAAGAAAAUCUGUCUCUUUAAUACCCAUGGAAAUUUAUCUUUGGGUGAAAAAGCCCAAAUCACCCAUAAAGACAAAAAGACCCUAAAAACUUCUUAUACUUUUCAUAAUCUCUAUAAUAAUAUAUUUUGUUGGGGCGACAUAAAGAAAAAAACAUUUUUACUAAAUACCAGAGUAUAUAACUCAAACAUAAAGAGCCAAUCGCACAUAAUUAAGCUACUUUAGGGGUAACAGGCUAAUAUUUCUUAAGAGUUCACAUCGACAGAAAUGUUUGGCACCUCGAUGUUGGCUUAGGGAGUCCCUUCCACGCAGAAGUAGAAGAUGAUGGUUUGUUCAACCAUUAAACCCCU
rnacentral:rRNA from 1 species